CCAAUUCUGUCCAGGCCCAAACAAGCCAAACCAAAAUAAAAAUAAAAAUAAUAAUAGUCCAAAGUCUAUUACAAUAGUCCAUCAAGCCCAAAAAUAUAAAAAAACCCUAAUGUCCCGAUAGGCUUAACACCUAAAUAGUGUUCAGACAUAGAAACCCUAAUCUAGCCCUCUGGCGUCGCACGCCUCUUACGCCAGGACGCCACUGUCGCUCCACCACCAACUGCUACAGACAACCACC
rnacentral:lncRNA from 1 species